GCAGUUCAUAGAGCAGAUGUACAAUACAAGAGUAAGUUAUCUGUCACCUCGAGGGACUGUUUAAUAUUUUGCUACACAUGCGUAACAAGAAAUCGUGAAUAUAAAAAAAUGUGUAUUUCGUAGAAGUGAACUUCGCCGUUGAAGAUAGUGUUAUAAAAAAAUUGAUAAAUAUGAAUGUCGAAGGCGCUUCAAGGUCAGUCGUAUCCAUCAUUCAAAAUUUGUAUUCUGAUAAAAUUGCAUAUUAAUGUGCAAUACGUUGCUAUGCAAGUCUUAACAUAUGCAAAAUUCAUUUACCCGAUGCAAAUGAUUUCUAAAAAUUGAGAAGUGCAACAUGUACUAGAUUUCUCAAUAUCAAUUCACGUAGAUAACAUCGAAAUCCAUUUUAACAGAUAUAUUUCCCAGAUGGGAUGGGAGAACAUAGCCCUUAAAAUACGAAGCAUUUCGAACCGAGUCACUCUCAGAUGUUCUGUUCGACCAAGCAAGUUACGCUUGUGCCGCGAGUCUUUUCAUUUUAUCGUGCCAAUAUUUUCAUCAUAGUGAAAACAUGUUCAGUGAAAUUAUAACGAAAAUAUUCAUAUCAUUAACGGUGUUUAAUAUAGUUUAUGCGUAUCAAGGAAAUUCUUGGUGGAAGGUUGAUAAUUCGCAAAGACAAGGACCUAACGUAUGCGCCGUAGAAGUAAACGAUGACAUAAGCUAUGCUUAUUACACUGAAAGCAAACAGUGGAAUCCUCGAAAAAUUUGUGGCAAGCCUACAUUCGUAAGAUACGAAUGCUGCGCAGGAUAUUAUAGAGUUCCUGGGUAUCUUGGAUGCACAGGAGUAAAACCAUUAAUAAAUCUCAUAGAAACAACGCGACGAGUGGGUGCUAUGAAAUUUGCAAAAUUAAUCGAAAGUUCGUCCUUCGCGGAAGAAUUGAUCGGUGGACCACCCUUAACAUUAUUCGUACCAUCCGACGAUGCUUUUGAUCACUACUUAAAAGUAAAAGGUAUUCACCAAGAAUACGACGGUAACAGAUAUGUAAAUUUAAUCGCGAAUCAUAUAAUAGACAGACGCGUAUUAUCAAAUCAAUGGCAAGCAAAUCUUUUAAUUCCAUCGCGAUUACAAGGAAACGUUUUAAGAAUCAACAAAUUUUCCAGUGGAAUGGAAACAGUGAAUUGCCAUCGAAUUAUUCGCAAGGAUCAAGUUGCCACUAAUGGAGUUGUGCAUGUUAUCGACGGAGUUUUGGAUCUUGCUUUGGCACAAAAUUCAGACAUAAUUGAGCUCGCUUCUAGGGACGGUAGAUUCGAAAUAUUUACAAAAGCCCUUAAAAAUAGCGAGUUAGGAAAUAGAAUUAGAUUCAGUGAAAUACCCUGUACUAUUUUUGCACCCACGGAUCAAGCUUUUCAUCAUAUUCCUAAAAGACAAUUGACCGAUAUGUUGGAAAACCCGACAGCAUUAAAUGCAUUAAUUGCUCAUCAUAUCGUAACGCAUCCUGUAUGCGUGCCAAAUAUAAUUUCGGAAUAUCAUGCAAGCACGAUGCAACGACAAGAACUAAAAUUAAAUUGCGGUCCGUAUGGACCCAUCGUAGACAAUGUAAAUAUAAGAAAUGAAAUGUAUCAUGGAAAAAAUGGAUUACUUUACGUUGUUGAUCGUGUGUUACUUCCGGAUCGAGCUAAAACUAUCUUGGAUGUGAUCAAGGAGGAAGGAUUAUUUAAAUUUUUAGAAAUAAUUAAAACAGCUGAAUUGGAAGAAAGUUUGAGACAUUUGAAACACUUCACAAUGUUUGCUCCCUCUGAGACAGCAAUGUAUUCUCUAUCAAAUCAGAAACUUGUAGAAUUGCAAAGAAAUCAAAAGAGUGCUCGGAACUUUGUUCUUAAUCAUAUAGUUAGGGGAACGUAUUUCACCGAUGAAAUUAGUAGCAAUCAAAUCGCUAGAACGCUUGAAAUAGGAGUUCCAUUACGCUUCCAAGUUUAUCGUGGUAAUUUUGGAAUAGAGAACGCAUUAAUUAUGAAAGCUGAUAGAGAAUGCAGCAAUGGCGUUUUACACGUUAUAAGUCACAUUUUACAUCCUGCAGAAGAAUCUUUAGAUUAUAUUUUGAGAAAAGAAGGCAAUUUCAGUAUUUGGUUAGACGCUAUGGAAAGAAUUAAAGGCAUUCAACCACAAAUGUAUGACCAAUUUAAGCGCGCGAAUUCUUCGUGUACAUAUUUCGUUCCUUCGGAUAAAGCAUUUAAACAGCUAGGAAAUGCCAAACUUCAAAAAUUAUUGGAAGACAGGAACUAUCUAACAAAGGUUUUUUGUUGUUCACUUUCAGACACUACAAAAUCAUAUUGUGGAUAAUAUGUUACUUGCUGAAAGCUUCAUGCCAGAUUUACAGUAUACCGUCAGAACUAAAGGAAACCCGAUAAAUAUUAUGAGAAAAAAUAACAGGAUUUUGGUAAAUGAUGCCACUCUUGUAAAGAGCGACAUUUUGAAUAAAGCUGGAGUUGCACACGAGAUAAACUCUGUAUUACUACCUGAUCAGUGUCCUAAUGGUCACAGAAGAAUACACGAUGGACCAUUUGUAAGAAAAGCUUGUC